rnacentral:lncRNA from 1 species
CUGUUCUCCACUCAGGUAAAAAUAUUUUGAAUUUUAGAAAAAAAUUAUCCAAAUAUUAUUAUUUCAGUUAGGUAUUUGUGGAAGUCUGUGUGGAUCUGGGAAUCUUUAUCUCAAAAUUAGCCUAAGAUCAUGAAUGACCUGUAAUGUAUUGACUGAGGAGGAGGGAGAAAUUGUAACUUUUAAUUUGUGUUUCACAUGAAGUUGCAUAUAGCUAAACUAAAUCAAACUCACCUCUGCAAAUUACAGGAGGACUAUAUUAACACUGAACUGAAGGCUUUAAAAAUCUCAUUCAGUUGUUAUACACAGACUUAACAGCUAUAUUUUUCUAUCUUUUUGUAAAUGUGUGAAGCAGAUGAAAACACAAGCCUGAUAAAGCCAGCUAUCUCUUCUCUAUAGUACAUCAUAGCGUGCCCAGGGAGGAUCCACUGCCUCUGGUAGUUAAAGCAUUUGGGAAAAUAUUUGCUGAGUGUGAGCAACAGGAGCAUACUGAGACUUCACACAAGGCAGCUGAUCUGGUGGAUGACUACCUAGCACAGGAGCUCUGGGAGUUAUGAUGUGCCUCUGAGCAUUAGACACCUUUCUGUUAAGUUAGGGAAAAUACUUGUAUUGGAAAGAGUUGAACUCGAAUGACUACAUGAAGACCAGGAAAGAUGUGAUUGAAGGCCUUGGUGAACAAACUGAUCCUUCAGCUGAAGUUGAUGACACAAUGUAUCAAGCAAAUGUGAGGCCAAGUUCAAGCACAGCCAUCCAUACCUCAACGGGGACCACUUCUCCCAGAGCACCGCUUCCCUCAAGAGCGGCAGCUUCUUCAUUACAGUGGCUGCGCCGUCUCCAAGCCUGCCCUCGCAAACCUUUUCCCGGAGACCAAAGCCUGCUGCAUCUCGCUAGAAUUGCCUUCGGUUACGCUUCAAAGCGUCUGCCCGACGGAGCUGCUGCUGUGCGCCGGCCUGUGCCCGGCCCGCGCGGGGCGGCCACGAGCCGAGCGAGCCGGCGUGCUCCCGAGCUCGGCAGAGACAAACGAAAGAGGCUGAAAGAAAAACUCGCAAAAUCUUUGUUGACCCUUCGUAGUGAGGAUGCUGGUGGGACCCCAUCUCUGGAUUUAGGAAAUAGCCUGCCUUUAGAAAAUAGUUACUCCUGA